rnacentral:rRNA from 1 species
UACGUAGGGGGCUAGCGUUGUCCGGAAUCAUUGGGCGUAAAGAGCGUGUAGGCGGUCCGGUAAGUCCGCUGUGAAAGUCGGGGGCUCAACCCUCGAAUGCCGGUGGAUACUGUCGGGCUAGAGUGCGGAAGAGGCGAGUGGAAUUCCGUGGGUGUAGCGGUGAAAUGCGCAGAUAUCAGGAGGAACACCUAUUGCGAAGGCAGCUCGCUGGGACGUAACUGACGCUGAGACGCGAAAGCGUGGGAGCAAACAGG